rnacentral:rRNA from 1 species
UCUACGGGAGGCAGCAGUGAGGAAUAUUGGUCAAUGGCCGAGAGGCUGAACCAGCCAAGUCGCGUGAGGGAAGACGGCCCUACGGGUUGUAAACCUCUUUUGUCGGGGAGCAAAGCGAACCACGUGUGGUUCCUUGCGAGUACCCGAAGAAAAAGCAUAGGCUAACUCCGUUCCAGCAGACGCGGUAAUACGGAGGAUGCGAGCGUUAUACGGAUUUAUUGGGUUUAAAGAGUGCGCAGGGGGAGGUGCAAGUCAGCGGUCAAAUUGCGGGGCUCAACCCCGUACGGCCGUGGAAAAUGCAGCCCUUGAGUGCGCGAGAAGUAUGCGGAAUGCGUGGUGUAGCGGUGAAAUGCAUAGAUAUCACGCAGAACUCCGAUUGCGAAGGCAGCAUACCGGCGCGCAACUGACGCUCAUGCACGAAAGCGUGGGUAUCGAACAGGAUUAGAUACCCUAGUAGUC